rnacentral:rRNA from 1 species
UACGUAGGGGGCUAGCGUUGUCCGGAUUUAUUGGGCGUAAAGCGCGCGUAGGCGGUUACUUAAGUCGGAUGUGAAAGCCCUCGGCCUAACUGAGGAAGUGCACCCGAAACUGAGUAGCUAGAGUACGAAAGAGGAUCGCGGAAUUCCCGGUGUAGAGGUGAAAUUCGUAGAUAUCGGGAGGAACACCGGUGGCGAAGGCGGCGAUCUGGGUAGAUACUGACGCUGAGGUGCGAAAGCGUGGGGAGCAAACAGG